rnacentral:rRNA from 1 species
UACGUAGGGUGCAAGCGUUAAUCGGAAUGACUGGGCGUAAAGGGUGCGCAGGCGGUCUGCUAAGACAGAGGUGAAAUCCCCGGGCUCAACCUGGGAACUGCAUCUGUGACUGCAUAGCUAGAGUACGGUAGAGGGGGAUGGAAUUCCGCGUGUAGCAGUGAAAUGCGUAGAUAUGCGGAGGAACACCGAUGGCGAAGGCAAUCCCCUGGACCUGUACUGACGCUCAUGCAC